GGAGGAUUACCCAAGUGGCUGAAGGGGCGGUCUUGAAAACCGCUAGGUCGUUAACGCGGCGCAAGAGUUCGAAUCUCUUAUCCUCCU
rnacentral:tRNA from 1 species